UUGGCGGAAUCGUUGAUUCUGUUGAGGACUUCGGCUGUGGGUAUUUUAUACCCAACAGCUGCAAUUUAGACAACCACACACUAUGGUACCACCUGGCUUUGUGGUAUCACCUGGCUCUUUGGUAUCACCUAGCUUUAAUAUCAAUUUUUACAGCAGAAAGAAAGAAGAGAUAAAAUAAAAGACAAUCAAAUAUAUGGAUCAGCCCAAGGCUUAUCUCCAUGGAGCACGUAAGCUUCACUAUGAGAGAAAAUAAUAAGUACAAGAGGAGAUCACACACUCUCAACUCUUAUACACCAAUCUCUCUCUCAACAAGAAGUACAACCCUCACAAAAGUUUUUAUAAAAUCCUCCAAGAUGACCUUCUCACAAGCCUAUCGAGCCAAGGUCCUCGAUGUCCCUAGAUGUUUUCUGUGAUGUUCUCAAUCACUACAUCAUGCCUCAGCCUUUGUCCCUACACUCAUGGCCACUCCCAUGGCCAUUCCAGGAUACUCUUGGCUGCCUCUGUAGUUGCACAUGCCAAGCUACUCCUGAUGCCCACUCCUCUGCUCCACAGUCUCUUAGACCUCUUUUAUAGGCCCAAAAUCUACUGCAGAUUAAAAUCACAGUCCUGAUCUAAAAGAAUAGUGCCCUACAAGCUAAUUAUAUAGAUGAUGUGAUGGGUCUAUUCUAUAUUAUCUUCCUACUCAUGUGCAUGAUAUUGGUUAUUUUAUAUCUAUGAGGUAUUGUGUUUCAUCAUUUGUUGUAUCAUAUUAUUAUUUAAUUAUGAUUAUGAUGAAUCUCAUAGAUUAGGAUAAUGAUUUUAGAGCCAUGAUGGGAUCAUACCAGUGAAAUCUUGAUAACUUCAAUCUAAAAUAUUUUCAGUCAAAAGAUCAUCGAGUGGGGGA
rnacentral:lncRNA from 1 species